UAUAGGUUGCCGCCUUUCCGGUGUGGCGGGUUAUAGAUCGAUUAUUAUCUCCAAAACUCAAUUCAAUUCAAAAUCACACAGAGUCAUGGGUAAUAUCUCUGACUCCCUAUGCACUGGAUUUUGAUGGAGUGGUCUGCGACAGCUACGAAGAGAGCUCCCUCUCAGCUUUCAAGGUUUUGCUGAACUGAGAUCAUAUCGGCGUCUUGCCAGUUCACUCGCAUUUCCGACCACUCGAUUUUGCUUUCGAUGUUGUCAAUUUUUUAUGGGGUUUGGUAUAGUUAUAUUGCACGAAAGCGAUUUUAAUUUUUCCCCCAGUUAUCGAAUUAUCUGCUUCUGUGGAAAUUGAAUAUAUAUCUAGUAUGUUUUUUUUGUGUGUGAGUGUUCUCUUUCAAAUUUUCGAAUACUCCUUGUUUUUAUUAUGUCUGUUUAAGGCUGCUAAAGUAUGAUGGCCAAAUGAAUCAGUUUGAAUAGUUGAUCAGAUGCAACACAGUAAUUAUUUCUUCCCUGUUUUCUUUAUGAAUAAGUUUGAAUAUUGUUCGAGCUCUUUUUAUCUUCGAUUGUUUAAAUUUGAAAUGCCCCAUUUAUAAUAGUAUUAUUCAAAUUUUGAUAACAGGAAUUCAUGAAAAUGGUAGUGUCUGUUUCAUGUAGGAAAUAAUGAAGUUCAAUAAGAGGAGAUUGUGCCUUCUUACCUGACACCUAGCACUAUAUAUCUGCUUAAGGUUGCAGAGGGACUCACGGAUGCCGGAAUGAUGGAGAACUGGAUGACUAUAAAACCCGUGAUCAUGGCAGAAUGGGAUGGGAGUGACAGAUUUUUGGGAAGAGGUGUUCCAGAUGUCUUGAAGUGUUCUAAUUCCAAACUCUAGAUCGUCAUAACGAAGCAGAUGCUCUGCUUCAAGAGCUUGCUAGAGUUACUAGGAAUCUAUGGGUUGGGAACUGGGGGAUUAGGGUUAUAACACUCAAAAUGAGCGAGAUGAGGCUGCAAGAAUCUCCAGGAUUCGACUUCUUCAGCUGUCAGACUUCAGCAAUAAGCACAAGUGAUUCUGAUCUGAUCUUCUUUGGGUGGAACAACAAGAAUAUUCAGCCAUCUAGUGAUUCUGUUGUUAAAGCUCGUCAUUGGCCGUAUCAUCAGAGGUUUCAGCCUUGUCCAUUUGGAGCUUGCGAAAAACUUCAUCGAACGUAGGAUCCCCCGGUCUUCUGAAG